rnacentral:RNase_P_RNA from 1 species
GCGGACGGCUGGAUGGCCGCACCCUUCGGGGUGAGGAAAGUCCGGACUCCAUGAAGCGACGGUGCCGGGUAACGCCCGGGCGGGGCGACCCGACGGAAAGCGCCACAGAAAACAGACCGCCUUCGCCUCGUGCGAGGGUCAGGGUGAAACGGUGGGGUAAGAGCCCACCGCGGGCCUGGCAACAGGACCGGCACGGCAAGCCCCACCGGGAGCAAUGCCGAAUAGGGAUCCCGCGGGGCACGGACCCCAAGGCGGCUUCAGCCCAGGGAUCCGGGUUGGCAGCAAGACCCCGUCCGCAAGGGCGGGGCUAGAUGAAUGGUCAUCCACGGGGGCAACCCCGGGACAGAAUCCGGCUUACAGGCCGUCCGCGCAC